CAGUUUAGAACAGGCACCCCCAAACUCAGCCCUCCAGAUGUUUUGGGACUACAAUUCCCAUCAUCCCAUGGUCCUGUUAGCUAGGGAUGAUGGGAGUUGUAGUCCCAAAACAUCUGGAGGGCCGAGUUUGGGGAUGGCUGGUUUAGAAUG